rnacentral:misc_RNA from 1 species
AACAUCGCGCACCUGCGGGAACCUGCGGAGGGAUCAUUAAAAAUUUAAUUAUCCUACUUAAACUAUAUGGAUAAUAAAAUCCAUAUUCAUUUCAUGUGCAUCUAUCGAUCGUAUACUUUGACAGAUUUUUUUCCUUCUUUCUUGAUCUUUAUUUCAGAAAGAUGGAGAGAAUUCGAAUCUUCGGGGGUCUGUCAAAGUUUUCCUUUUUUCUUCUCCUGAAUCCUUUAAAUUCCGAAAACC